UACGUAGGGACCAAGCGUUGUUCGGAAUUACUGGGCGUAAAGGGCUCGUAGGCGGCCAACUAAGUCGGAUGUGAAAUCCCCAGGCUCAACCUGGGAACUGCAUCCGAUACUGGAUGGCUUGAAUCCGGGAGAGGGAUGCAGAAUUCCAGGUGUAGCGGUGAAAUGCGUAGAUAUCUGGAGGAAUACCGGUGGCGAAGGCGGCAUCCUGGACCGGCAUUGACGCUGAGGAGCGAAAGCUAGGGGAGCAAACGGG
rnacentral:rRNA from 1 species